GCCACUCAAAGCCAGAUAAUUUUCUGUCCGUUAGAUCAAAAAUAAGGAACAAACAUGACUGUUGGAUUUAAUUUUUUUUUUCCUAUAAAAAAAAGAUGAUGUCAGAUUCUGUUUGCUAUUAUAUAUAGAUUACCAUUAAAAUAUAUAAGUAAUUGUUUUUCUUAUUUAACCAAAAAAGAACAAAAAAAAUCAUUCCUCUUCUUUCUGUGAUUCCUCUGUUUGACCAGUUUUGUUUUUUUUUUUCUCUUUAUCCAACUCUGUUAUUGAAGUGUCAUCCAUCCUCUGUUUCCUUUAUAUCAGAAACUGGUUUGCUUUGCUCGUUGCCAGAUUCAGUCUUGCUUUCAUCAGUUUUGUAUUCGUCAAUCUUUUUUUUUUUGUAAAAAGUAUUCGUCAAUCUUCUGCUAUGUGUUUGUGAUAGAUUCUUCGGAUAUUAUUUAGAAUCUAUCAGUUUGAAGACGAAUCAGAACUUCUUCUAUGUUCUAGUACGGUUUAAAUUCUUAUCUUAUCAAAGAUCCAUCUGAAAUAUUUUUUUUUUUGGAUAACUGUUUUCACUAAAACUUAAAAUCUCAGACUACACGAAAAGUUUUUAGGGCUGCAAGUAUAAAACAAAAAAUUUACGUCUAUGGGUUUAUAAUUACAGCACGGAUCAUUUAUUGCUAUUAGGACACUUUUUCUUAAUGGGAUACAUGUUUGGUUAUCUAUUAGUUAUAUGCUAACCAAUAAGUCAAAACUUAGUUUCCUUUCUCUCUCCUCUCUCUUUUUCUAUUCCAUAUCUCUUCGCUUCUAUCUCACUUUUCCAAUUAUCAUCUUUUUCUUUCUCCCACUCUCGGUUUCAGAUCUGACCUCAUGAAAAAUUAUUGAAUCCAAUUUUUGGCCAAAUAUGCCAAAAUUAUCACUGUUUCUCACCACCAAUCUAUCCGACAUCGCGUUAUCAGUUUAAUCUUCACUGCAGCGACUUUGCUCGUGUCAAGAACGAAGCUCCUCCUCCGACGAGAAACAAUAGCGUCUUUUGCAUUAAAACAGAGGAGAGAGAAAAAAAUCAAAAAGUUGAUUUAUCUGUUCUACCGAGAGAGAGAGCUCUUAGGCUUUUGGUACAAAGAACUCAUGGCCAGGUCCUUUGGGUUCUUCGUUAGUGGAUGAUGCACGUCUAGCCAUUUCCAGAAUAUCACGGUUUCUCCAGUGAUAAAACAAAUUCUUCAUGUGUUUAUGCAAACCUUUUGUGAAUUAGUGUACCUAUGGACACUCAAAAUUAUGUGUACAUGUGGACGGUCAAAAUAUGUGUACAUGUUGAAGUUAUCAAAAUAGAAAACUACUCUUAUCAAAA